CUUGAUGGUUAUAGUGUUUCAUAUUCUGCUCGGACUUUUAUUGUGGAGCUAUUUUAGAGUAGUAUUGAAGGACCCUGGUUCAGUCCCUGAGAAUUGGAGGCCAGAGCGGUUGGAGGAGAAUUUGGAGGGAGGUAGCUGUAUCAAUGAGUCGGAUUUUAGAGCACCUGAGAAUUUGGGUUCUACAUGGUCUGGGCCUGCUGGGUUGGAUAGGGGACCACAUGUGGGCUAUUGCAAUCACUGCCAGAACGGCAAACCGCCGCGUUGCCAUCAUUGCUCUGUUUGCCAAAGAUGUGUUCUGAAGAUGGAUCACCAUUGUGUUUGGGUGGUCAAUUGCGUUGGAGCCCGUAACUACAAGUUUUUUCUUCUUUUCUUGCUAUACACAUUUUUGGAGACAACAAUGAAUACUCUAGUAUUAUUGCCUGGUUUUAUCAAGUUCUUUGAUGAAGCCAAAAAUCAUUCCAGCUCCCCUGGCAAUCUAGCAGUAACUUUUUUGGCCUUUGAUUGUGUACCUUGAUGCAGUUCUUAAUUUGGCUUUUGCUCUCAGUCUUCUUUGUUUCAUAUUUAUGCAUGCAUCUCUUCUGUCAAGCAACACCACAUCUGUAGAGGUUUAUGAGAAGAAAGGAGCAGCUAGGUGGAAGUAUGACUUAGGCAGGAAGCAGAAUUUUGAACAGGUAGUCUUUUCCAUUUUUUUUUAUAUACGAUAUAAGAUUUUCUGUCAUCUUUCAAAUAAUAAAUGCAUGAUUUAAGAUUCUCUGUUAUCUUGCAUAGUUUAUGUAUAAUUGCUAUCUAUGGGAUUAUACUGGUUGAUUGUACCUGUGAGUUGUUGAUAUGUGAUUGCAAGAAUUGCAAUUAAAGACACAGUGCUUCCAUUUGGUUGGGGGUGACUAGGCUAGGGAACUUCAAGUUCCUAGGAAGUGUGAAAAUCUAUCUUGUUUGGUUGGCAUUUUAUUUCAACAUCCUAAGGAAAUAACUUACCCUCAUACUUCAUAAGAAGUGAAGUUCCUAGGAAGUAGAGAAUUUGAACCAAAUAAGGCCUUAGUUACAGGGAAUUUGUAGAACUUGAGGUUUGGAGUUGGUAGAAAUUGAAACUUGGCCUCUUCUCCCUUCAUUAUUUAUUUAUUUAUUCUUUGGGAUAAUGACAUUUUGGGUGCCUAAACUUUAUAGUGAAGUUGAGUGAAUUGGAAAAAAAGAAAAAUGUCAAUUGACUGCAUGGCUCAACUGACACAUGGACUCCUUUAAUUAAAUGAGAAUUCUAAUUGCACAUGCUUAAGAUUGUGAGAAGACUACUUUGGAAAAAUCUUAGAAAUCCAUGGUGAAAAAGCAGAUUUUUUUUUCAAUGUGAUGGGUACAUAUUUUUUCAAAAAAAUAAAGAUAGUCCACAUGCUUGCUGAUGUGGAAAGUAGAGUAUUUUUUUUAUUAUUUUAGUUCAUCUUGGCAUUUUAGGUAACUAGGAAAGUACAAACCCAUUCCAAUUUCAUUGCAAUUUUUUUUCCCUUGCGCACUUGAUUCCUUCAAGCAAAAAAAAUAAAGAACAAAAAAAGAGAGAAGAAUUUUAAGCAUUCAAAUAGAAAAUGCUUGAGUGUUUAGGCACUCAAAAUGUCUAUAUCCAUUCUUGUGGCUUCUUGCUUGUGACCCUUUUUAAGCGUAACUUUAACUUUUGUAUUGGUAGAAAUCAUGUAAUUAAAUGGUUACUUGAUUUUUAAUAAAAUCUUCCGGUCAAUUUGAAGCCAUUCUUCCUUCUAGAUGUGAUAUCAUGUUCUUAUGGUAUCUGUCCUAUUUUUCUUUUAGGUUUUUGGCAGAAAGAAGGCA
rnacentral:misc_RNA from 1 species